AUGUGAUCGUCUCUCGCAUAUCAAUAAGCGGAGGAAAAGAAACUAACAAGGAUUCCCCUAGUAACGGCGAGUGAAGCGGGAAGAGCUCAAAUUUGAAAUCUUAAAGGGUUUCCCUUUACGAAUUGUAGUUUAAAGAAGUGUUUUCUGUUGAGGUUUUGGUAAAAGUUCUUUGGAAUAGGACAUCAUAGAGGGUGAGAAUCCCGUAUUUGACCUUUACUUUCAACUUUGUGGUACACUUUCAAAGAGUCGGAUUGUUUGGGAAUGCAGUCCAAAAUGGGUGGUAAAUUUCAUCUAAAGCUAAAUAUUGGCGAGAGACCGAUAGCGAACAAGUACCGUGAGGGAAAGAUGAAAAGAACUUUGAAAAGAGAGUUAAACAGUACGUGAAAUUGUCAAAAGGGAAGCGUUUGACACCAGUGUUGUUUUUCUGAAAAUCAAUUAAAGAACUGUUUAUGCUAAGUUGUUUAGACUUUAUCAGCUAAUCUGUUUAGUUUUGAGCUUUUCUUUAAUGCACUUUUCAGUUAACAAGUCAACAUCAAUUUCUUUUGCUGUAAAAAAGCUUGAGGAAGGUGGCUUGAGAUUCGUCUUAAGUGUUUAUAGCCUCUUGCCUAUGCAGUCGGAGAGAUUGAGGUCUGCAGCGUAGAUCCUUCGGGGCUAAAUGCAUUUGUGCUAAGUUAUAGCAUUUUAUAGACAACUUGUUGACUAUGAUUUGUCUUGUAGCUUACUCGCUUAUGUUAUUUUACCUACGCUUAGGAUGUUGACACACGCGCGUGCUCG
rnacentral:rRNA from 1 species